CUUCCCUCUUAAAGUUCUUUCUCUCUUUCUCUCUGCUAUUUGAACAUGUUGACUACCUUUUCCUUUUCCAAGUUUUCUCCCUGUUGGCUUCUGUGGCACCACGUUCUCCUGGUUCUGCUCGUAGCUCUCUGACUAAGCUUUCCCCUUCACCUACUGACCCUCGAUGCUGUGCACAGAGUUAGUCUACUUCCACUGGACUCAAAGACUGGAACUACUCCAGACCAGAAAAUAACAAAUCAGUUUCGCAAGAGGGAAGUCCUGAAAGAAAUAGAUGUGAACUAUGUUCCUUCGCCUCCUCCUCCCACGUAGAUUGACUUAUACCUGGAACAGCUAGCAGUACUAGGUGUCAUUGGGAACU
rnacentral:lncRNA from 1 species